GGAAUUUUCCUCAUUCCUAUGAACAGUAAGGUUGUUUUCGUUAGCUAGGGAGGCAAUAAAUGUUUAUGCCUAAUUUAAGCAAUUGCAGACAGUACCUAUUAUGUUUGGAGUAGUGGAUUUUAACAGCAAAGACGAAUUGGAAAAAAAAAGUAUAACUGCCUUUUUAUUAAGACGUAAAUCCAUGGAGGUUUAAUUGGAAGGAGACAGGUGAAAGAGAGCAGUACUUUGCCUCCUUCCAGAAAUUCUCCCACGUAACAUUCUCAGCAGGGUAGUAAGUGCCAACAGAUUCCGCCAAGGAAACAAAAGACAGAAUGAUUUUAUCACAAGCACAGUUUUCACUGGGAAUCCUGUGAUCUGCAGGUGGGUCACUUAAUCACUGAAGGAGAUCAGCUUGGUCAUGCAGGACCUGCUUUUCCUGAAUCCAUGCUGACUGCUCUAAGCAACAAGAAGGCUAGAAGAAAAUGGACAUGCAAGAGCUGUAAGAAAGCAUCAGCUGUGGCAAAGGAAAAGGAAAGCUGCGUCUCUGCUCAAAAGGAUGCCAG